AUUUCUUUUCAACUAAAAUACUUUUAGACUUGCUUUUAUUCCUCUCUGUUCUGAGCCUUCUGAGAAAACUGCACAGUAAGCUCCUUGUGUCUAAUCUCUACAGUGUCUACUCCAGUCUCAGCCCUUUGUGGCCUAUUCAGGAAGGCGGGAACAACCUCUAAAGUAAAUCAACAAGAAGCCAUAAUUAAAGAAGGCAUCACACUGACCUCUCUGCACAUUAAACACCAGAAGACAGUGGAGUAAUGUUACAGAACUUAGGGUUCUCCUUGCUACUACAGAGGAAGGACUGGUGUAAAGCACUGAAAAGAUUAAAGGGCCAAAUUCAUCAGAACUCUUUCCAAAUCCUCUCAAUACAGCAG
rnacentral:lncRNA from 10 species